rnacentral:lncRNA from 7 species
GAAGCUGCAAUACAUCUGAAAUGAGACAAAACUUGUUUGGAAAAAGAAGGGAGAGAGGUAACAGCAGAUGACAGUCUGGCAAAAUGGCAUCUGAUAUGGAAAUAUGGAUGAAGAAAAGAUGUGUCAUUGAAUUCCUCCAUGCAAAAUGAAUGGCAACACUGACAUUCAUUGACACUUGCUGAACAUUUGUAGAGACCAAACAGUGGAUGUGAGCACAGUGAGGCAGUGGGUGGUGCAUUUCAGCACUGACAACAGUGACAGUGCUUCACCUUCACAGGCACAGAUUCUCAUGAGCAUGGCAUGCAGGCUCUUGUUCCUUGCUUGAGAGAAUGUAUAGCAAAUGGUGGUGACUAUAUUUUGAAUUUGAGAAUUUGCUGUAUCAAAUAGUGCUAUCGUGCUCUUGGUUUCUGUUGUAGUUGCCAUGGAAAAAAAACAGGAGGCAUUACUUUCAGAGCAACCUAGAUUCAGUGGGGAAAAUGCAAAGUAUCUUCUGGUGCUGCUUCACAUGUGUUAUCUAGUGCAGUCUUCUGCCCUAGAAUUUAGGAAUGGUUAUUGGUCCUGAAAUUGUAAAAGCUAUUUUUAUCUGAAAGGUGUAAUAUGAAUUCAAUUGACAGGUUUGGAAUUUUCUUACAAUUAUUAAAUCUUCACUUUAUAAGUUAUAUCAAUCUGAUAAGGUGCUCAAUAAGGCUAAAGGAAGCUUAUUGCUGUCCAGGUGCCCCACAAACAUUGCAAUGUUACAUACCAGAAUAAGGACACUUUCCAUAUUAUUUUAGGAAACAGAUUUCAAUUUUUAGCAAUGCAGUGAAGUUGUGGAGAAAGUUAUGUUAAUUUUCAGAUAUCUUUUCUGAAGAUUCAGGGCUCUUUCAAUCCAUUAUACAGUAAGUAGCAUUCAGUUUGAUUCACAAUAGUAAUGAAAUUCGAUGUGUUUUUUGCAAGAAGUACAUAACAAAUUUAAUACUGAAUGUCUCCU